ensembl:lncRNA
GUCGGAAAUGGCCGCCGGCCGGCAGGGGGAGCGGAGGAUCCGGCGCGGCCUGGGAGGCUUGCAGCCGGCGGCCAGAGCGGCUUGUGGGAAGCGGACUUUCACUCAGGCAACAGCGGUGGCUCGUCCCUGACUGGAAGCCGGAGAACAAGCACUGAUGACCAUUAGUUCAGGCAAUCCUGUGCUGAGGCAUAUGCGACUACAUAAGCCAGAGAGAGGAAGAGUGCUGCCAGGACAGAAGAGACCUUAUGAGACUAACCAUUGCGCAUCUGGAGCAAACAUGGAGGCUGGGGGUGACUGUGAGACAGUCGUAGAGUGCUCCUGCAGGUGCUUUCUGUCUUCCCCUCCCCCUCCCUGCUGGG